rnacentral:rRNA from 1 species
ACGCUGGCGGCAGGCCUAACACAUGCAAGUCGAGCGGAAACGAGUUAUCUGAACCUUCGGGGAACGAUAACGGCGUCGAGCGGCGGACGGGUGAGUAAUGCCUAGGAAAUUGCCCUGAUGUGGGGGAUAACCAUUGGAAACGAUGGCUAAUACCGCAUAAUGCCUACGGGCCAAAGAGGGGGACCUUCGGGCCUCUCGCGUCAGGAUAUGCCUAGGUGGGAUUAGCUAGUUGGUGAGGUAAGGGCUCACCAAGGCGACGAUCCCUAGCUGGUCUGAGAGGAUGAUCAGCCACACUGGAACUGAGACACGGUCCAGACUCCUACGGGAGGCAGCAGUGGGGAAUAUUGCACAAUGGGCGCAAGCCUGAUGCAGCCAUGCCGCGUGUGUGAAGAAGGCCUUCGGGUUGUAAAGCACUUUCAGUCGUGAGGAAGGUAGUGUAGUUAAUAGCUGCAUUAUUUGACGUUAGCGACAGAAGAAGCACCGGCUAACUCCGUGCCAGCAGCCGCGGUAAUACGGAGGGUGCGAGCGUUAAUCGGAAUUACUGGGCGUAAAGCGCAUGCAGGUGGUUUGUUAAGUCAGAUGUGAAAGCCCGGGGCUCAACCUCGGAAUUGCAUUUGAAACUGGCAGACUAGAGUACUGUAGAGGGGGGUAGAAUUUCAGGUGUAGCGGUGAAAUGCGUAGAGAUCUGAAGGAAUACCGGUGGCGAAGGCGGCCCCCUGGACAGAUACUGACACUCAGAUGCGAAAGCGUGGGGAGCAAACAGGAUUAGAUACCCUGUUAGUCCACCCCGUAAACGAUGUCUACUUGGAGGUUGUGGCCUUGAGCCGUGGCUUUCGAAGCUAACGCGUUAAGUACACCGCCUGGGGAGUACGGUCGCAAGAUUAAACCUCAAAUGAAUUGACGGGGGCCCGCACAGGCGGUGG